UACAGAGGUCCCAAGCGUUGUUCGGAUUCACUGGGCGUAAAGGGUGCGUAGGUGGUUUGGUAAGUCCGGUGUGAAAUCUCCGAGCUCAACUCGGAAAUGGCAUUGGAUACUACCAGACUUGAGGGUCGGAGGGGAGACUGGAAUUCUCGGUGUAGCAGUGAAAUGCGUAGAUAUCGAGAGGAACACCAGUGGCGAAGGCGAGUCUCUGGACGACUCCUGACACUGAGGCACGAAAGCUAGGGGAGCAAGCAGG
rnacentral:rRNA from 1 species